rnacentral:rRNA from 1 species
UGUAGAGUUUGAUCCUGGCUCAGAUUGAACGCUGGCGGUAUGCCUAACACAUGCAAGUCGAACGAGGUAGCAAUACCUAGUGGCGGACGGGUGAGGAAUACGUAGGGAUCUGCCUUUAAGUGGGGGAUAACCCGGGGAAACCCGGAUUAAUACCGCAUGAUCUCGCAAGAGCAAAGUGGGGGAUCGCAAGACCUCACGCUUUUAGAGGAACCUACGUCGGAUUAGCUUGUUGGUGAGGUAAUGGCUCACCAAGGCGACGAUCCGUAACUGGUCUGAGAGGAUGAUCAGUCACACCGGAACUGAGACACGGUCCGGACUCCUACGGGAGGCAGCAGUG